CUUCAGCUGUUGGGCCACUGGAGGCAGGACUCAGCGAGGAUCUGCACCAUGGCCUGGUCCCCUCUCCUGCUCACCCUCCUCGCUCACUGCACAGGAUCCUGGGCCCAGUCUGUGCUGACUCAGCCGUCCUCAGUGUCUGGGGCCCCUGGCCAGAAGGUCACCAUCUCCUGCACUGGAAGCAGCUCCAACAUUGGGGGUAAUUAUGUGCACUGGUACCAACAGCUCCCAGGAAAGGCCCCCAAAACCAUCAUCUAUGAUAGUAGCAAACGACCCUCAGGUGUCCCCGACCGAUUCUCUGGCUCCAAGUCUGGCAACUCGGCCACGCUGACCAUCAGCGGGCUGCAGCCUGAGGACGAGGCCGACUAUUACUGCCAGACCUAUGAUGACAAUCUCAGUGCUCGCACAGUGCUCCAGGCCUGUGGGGAACUGAGACAAAAACCUGCUGUCCUCUUGAAAUGCGGCUCCCCUGGGUCGACCACAUUGCUCUGA